ACGCCGUACUCUGGAGAGCGACACCCGCCAUCGUUCGCAUGAAUGACGGUGAGCGUGUCCACCGAAGGGGCGCGCAGGGCCCGGUUCCGCCAGGAGCCACCCUGUAAUCUCUCAGGUAUCGAGGACAGAGGGGUCAUC
rnacentral:ncRNA from 2 species